AGUGUCCUGAUCGACGCGGAAGCAGCGUUGUUGGCCCAUCUUUUGUAGGGCAUCAAUUAUGUAGAUUUCAGCGGUGAUAAUGGAUACUUCAAAGGACCGUGCGGCGUGAAAUUUCAGGCCUUGGUUGGCUUUUUUUUCCGUAUCCUUUCUCAGGAUCAGUUGGAGUGCAUUGUCGUUGGCUUUAUAAUCCGGAUGCGUUGAGGAUUUUACGUUUAGCAUGAGAAGAGGAAAUGUAUCAUUGUUGUCAAGAGAGAAG